UACGGAGGGUGCAAGCGUUGUUCGGAAUCACUGGGCGUAAAGGGCGUGUAGGCGGUCUAUCAAGUCUGGUGUGAAAUCCCCUCGCUCAACGAGGGAACUGCGCCGGAAACUGACAGACUAGAGUACCGGAGAGGAAGGUGGAAUUCCACGUGUAGCAGUGAAAUGCGUAGAGAUGUGGAGGAAUACCGAUGGCGAAGGCAGCCCCCUGGGCCAAUACUGACGCUCAUGCACGAAAGCGUGGGGAGCAAACAGG
rnacentral:rRNA from 1 species